rnacentral:rRNA from 1 species
CUUUCUUUGCUGGCGACCGGCGCACGGUGAGUAACACGUAUCCAACCUGCCCUUUACUCGGGGAUAGCCUUUCGAAAGAAAGAUUAAUACCCGAUAGUAUAAUGAUUCCGCAUGGUUUCAUUAUUAAAGGAUUCCGGUAAAGGAUGGGGAUGCGUUCCAUUAGGUUGUUGGUGAGGUGACGGCUCACCAAGCCUUCGAUGGAUAGGGGUUCUGAGAGGAAGGUCCCCCACAUUGGAACUGAGACACGGUCCAA